rnacentral:rRNA from 1 species
UACAGAGGGUGCAAGCGUUGUUCGGAAUCACUGGGCGUAAAGGGCGCGUAGGCGGCUUAACAAGUCACUUGUGAAAUCUCCGGGCUUAACUCGGAACGGCCAAGUGAAACUGUCAAGCUAGAGUGCAGAAGGGGCAAUCGGAAUUCUUGGUGUAGCGGUGAAAUGCGUAGAUAUCAAGAGGAACACCUGAGGUGAAGACGGGUUGCUGGGCUGACACUGACGCUGAGGCGCGAAAGCCAGGGGAGCAAACGGG